rnacentral:rRNA from 1 species
UGUGAACGCUGGCGGUAGGCCUAGCACAUGCAAGUCGAACGGCAGCACAGUAAGAGCUUGCUCUUACGGGUGGCGAGUGGCGGACGGGUGAGGAAUACAUCGGAAUCUACUUUUUCGUGGGGGAUAACGUAGGGAAACUUACGCUAAUACCGCAUACGACCUACGGGUGAAAGCAGGGGAUCUUCGGACCUUGCGCGAUUGAAUGAGCCGAUGUCGGAUUAGCUAGUUGGCGGGGUAAAGGCCCACCAAGGCGACGAUCCGUAGCUGGUCUGAGAGGAUGAUCAGCCACACUGGAACUGAGACACGGUCCAGACUCCUACGGGAGGCAGCAGUGGGGAAUAUUGGACAAUGGGCGCAAGCCUGAUCCAGCCAUACCGCGUGGGUGAAGAAGGCCUUCGGGUUGUAAAGCCCUUUUGUUGGGAAAGAAAAGCAGCAGGUUAAUACCCCGCUGUUCUGACGGUACCCAAAGAAUAAGCACCGGCUAACUUCGUG